rnacentral:rRNA from 1 species
CCUACGGGAGACAGCAGUGAGGAAUAUUGGUCAAUGGGCGGAAGCCUGAACCAGCCAAGUCGCGUGAGGGAAUAAGGCCCUACGGGUCGUAAACCUCUUUUGCCGGGGAGCAAGGGCGGGGACGUGUCCCUGCCCGGAGAGUACCCGGAGAAAAAGCAUCGGCUAACUCCGUGCCAGCAGCCCCGGUAAUACGGAGGAUGCGAGCGUUAUCCGAAUUUAUGGGGUUUAAGGGUUGCGUGGGGGGGCUUUUAAGUCAGCGGUAAAAAUUCGGGGCUAAACCCCGUCGUGCCGUUGAAACUGUGUGACUUGAGUAGGCGAGCAGAAGGCGGAAUGCGUGGUGUAGCGGUGAAAUGCAUAGAUAUCACGCAGAACCCCGAUUGCGAAGGCAGCCUUCCGGCGCCCUACUGACGCUGAGGCACGAAAGUGCGGGGAUCGAACAGGAUUAGAUACCCUGGUAGUC